GACCGCCCAUCUAUGAUUCUAUAAUGCGUUUGGUGUCAAAUGAGUGCCAGUCGUCGUAGUGGGGGCAGCAGGCCAAGUUGCAUGAUGAAAAAGCAUGAAGCCUCUUGCCACGUGUACGAUCAUUAUGUCCUCCACAUUUCCAUGCUGACGUAGUUCUCGCGCCACAUUGACGUGUAGGGUUCCUAAAGGACCGAACCAAUUGGGCGAUUUUGGGCUUCAUUGAGCGACCCGACCCGAGACAAAUCCAGGUUGAUCUGAAUUCUUGCAGCUGACGGUUCGUAUAUUUCGGUGCCGGUCCGGCUUCGUCGUUUUGGGAUAUUAAUGGAGAUCGGAUAUGCGGCUCUUCUUCCACCGUACAACCUCUAAUUCCUCACCUCCUCUUCGUCGUUCGCUAUCGCCGCUGUUCCUUCUCCGCCAAGUUCUUCCGCCGGGAAAGUGGAUGAAGAAUUGGAGGAACGAGGGUCGUACGACGAGCUCUGAAGCGCCGGGUUCUCCCGUCACUCCCGGUGGCAAUUCCGUAAUUCGAUCUGAUUCCGUGACCAGCUGUGGCUCUUCUUCAAAUACUUAUGCUGGUGUUGUGAGUGGAAAUGUCAGAAACACAUACGAAAACUGGCAGAUGAUAAGGGUUGGAAGUUUUUCAAUUGAUUACAAGAUUUCUGAUGUCCCAUCUGGUAUUAGAGCAACGCAACUUGUUCCCAAGUCUGCAUUAGAUCCUACUGAUAAGGCACACUGCUACUCUCUCAGUUCGUUUAUUCAUUUCAAUAAAAGGAAGUAUCGAAUCGAUUUAAGAUCAAAGCUAGUUAAUAUGGAAGAUGCUGCUACAAGUUCAAGCUCUAAGAAUAUAAGUAAACUUCCACAUGAAAGCUCAAAUAUGUCAGAUUGUCAAAGAGAGAAGGAUAUAUAUUCAUCUUUACCUACAGAAUUUGGGAAAAAAAGAAAGCAUGGCCUCCCAGAAAAAUCUCAGUCCGCACCAAGAAAUAUGAAAUAUGUGCCUGUUAGCAAGAACUCAUAUUGGUCUAAGGGUUCGCAGUUGCAUUAUAAUGAACCGUUUGAUAUAUGCAUGUCUCUGACCAGAAGUUCUGCACCUAAAGAUUCUUGGCAUGCAAGAAGGAUAGAAAACCAGAAUGAAGAGGAGGACAUGGUGGAAUUCGAAAAUCCAGCACACACGGAACUCACAAGUUCAAUAGUACUACUGAGGUCUGGGAUGGUAUUGUUGAAACAUUUUGUCACCCUCAGUGAACAGGUUGAAAUAGUGAAAAAAUGCCGGGACCUCGGAGUAGGUCCUGGAGGCUUUUAUCAGCCAGGUUACCAAGAUGGAGCAAAAGCUUCGUCUACAGAUGAUGUGCCUUGGCAGGGACUGGGAUCCUCAGACAAGAAAGUACGGAGAUAGGCGAACAAUAGAUGGUACUCGGCCUCCUGGUAUUCCUAAUGAAUUUAGUUUGCUGGUAAAAAGAGCGAUUCAUGAGGCACAUGCCCACAUUAAAGAGGAAGUUAGCAGAGCUGAGGAAAUACUCCCUUCAAUGACUCCUGAUAUAUGCAUUGCCAACUUUUAUACAACAACUGGCCGACUUGGUCUUCAUCAGGAUCGCGAUGAAAGCAGAAAGUCUCUCCAAGACGGAUUGCCUGUGGUCUCCAUCUCUAUAGGUGAUUCAGCAGACUUCCUCUAUGGAGAUCAGAGAGAUAUUGCAAAGGCAGAGAGUGUUAUUUUGGAAUCAGGUGACGUGCUGAUAUUUGGAGGACCUUCGAGGCAUAUAUUUCAUAGCGUGACAUCCAUCCUACCGGACUCAGCCCCAAGGAGUUUGUUGGAAGCAACCAGCCUUCGUCCUGGACGUCUCAAUCUUACCUUCAGACAGUAUUAAUUAUACACCUUUCAUAUGUUACCACAGGUCUGGCAUUCUACUUGCACACCUUGUUUAGUUUUCGUCCUUAUCCCCCAAUACAAUUAAUAGACUUUGCGAUUAACGCUGUGACUGCAACUUGGUGCAUUCACUGAUCUAAAAACAAUUGCUGCUAUAAACAUAUUCAAAUUUUGUAUGGUAUUAAGCUUCUUCGAGA